rnacentral:rRNA from 1 species
CUAAAUGAAUCAAAACUUUCAACAACGGAUCUCUUGGUUCUGGCAUCGAUGAAGAACGCAGCGAAAUGCGAUAAGUAAUGUGAAUUGCAGAAUUCAGUGAAUCAUCGAAUCUUUGAACGCACAUUGCGCCCUCUGGUAUUCCARAGGGCAUGCCUGUUC